rnacentral:rRNA from 1 species
ACGGAAGGCAGCAGUGGGGAAUAUUGCACAAUGGGGGAAACCCUGAUGCAGCGACGCCGCGUGAGUGAAGAAGUAUCUCGGUAUGUAAAGCUCUAUCAGCAGGGAAGAAAAUGACGGUACCUGACUAAGAAGCCCCGGCUAACUACGUGCCAGCAGCCGCGGUAAUACGUAGGGGGCAAGCGUUAUCCGGAUUUACUGGGUGUAAAGGGGGCGUAGACGGUUCUGCAAGUCUGAUGUGAAAGGCAGGGGCUCAACUCCUGGACUGCAUUGGAAACUGUAGAACUAGAGUGCCGGAGAGGUAAGCGGAAUUCCUAGUGUAGCGGUGAAAUGCGUAGAUAUUAGGAGGAACACCAGUGGCGAAGGCGGCUUACUGGACGGUAACUGACGUUGAGGCUCGAAAGCGUGGGGAGCAAACAGGAUUAGAUACCCUGGUA